GAAGCUCAGCUUGCUGGGUGGAUCAGUGGCGAACGGGUGAGUAACACGUGAGCAACCUGCCCCCUACUUCGGGAUAAGCCUUGGAAACGAGGUCUAAUACCGGAUAUGAACGUCUGCCGCAUGGUGGGUGUUGGAAAGUUUUUCGGUGGGGGAUGGGCUCGCGGCCUAUCAGCUUGUUGGUGGGGUAAUGGCCUACCAAGGCGUCGACGGGUAGCCGGCCUGAGAGGGCGACCGGCCACACUGGGACUGAGACACGGCCCAGACUCCUACGGGAGGCAGCAGUGGGGAAUAUUGCACAAUGGGCGAAAGCCUGAUGCAGCGACGCCACGUGAGGGAUGACGGCCUUCGGGUUGUAAACCUCUUUCAGCAGGGAAGAAGCGAGAGUGACGGUACCUGCAGAAGAAGCGCCGGCUAACUACGUGCCAGCAGCCGCGGUAAUACGUAGGGCGCAAGCGUUGUCCGGAAUUAUUGGGCGUAAAGAGCUCGUAGGCGGUCUGUCGCGUCUGGUGUGAAAUCCCAUGGCUCAACUGUGGGCUUGCAUCGGGUACGGGCAGACUAGAGUACUGUAGGGGAGACUGGAAUUCCUGGUGUAGCGGUGGAAUGCGCAGAUAUCAGGAGGAACACCGAUGGCGAAGGCAGGUCUCUGGGCAGUUACUGACGCUGAGGAGCGAAAGCAUGGGGAGCGAACAGGAUUAGAUACCCUGGUAGUCCAUGCCGUAAACGUUGGGCACUAGGUGUGGGGCCAGUUCCACUGGUUCUGUGCCGU
rnacentral:rRNA from 1 species